AGUGAACGCUGGCGGUAGGCCUAACACAUGCAAGUCGAACGGCAGCACAGUAAGAGCUUGCUCUUACGGGUGGCGAGUGGCGGACGGGUGAGGAAUACAUCGGAAUCUACUUUUUCGUGGGGGAUAACGUAGGGAAACUUACGCUAACACCGCAUACGACCUACGGGUGAAAGCAGGGGAUCUUCGGACCUUGCGCGAUUGAAUUAGCCGAUGUCGGAUUAGCUAGUUGGCGGGGUAAAGGCCCACCAAGGCGACGAUCCGUAGCUGGUCUGAGAGGAUGAUCAGCCACACUGGAACUGAGACACGGUCCAGACUCCUACGGGAGGCAGCAGUGGGGAAUAUUGGACAAUGGGCGCAAGCCUGAUCCAGCCAUACCGCGUGGGUGAAGAAGGCCUUCGGGUUGUAAAGCCCUUUUGUUGGGAAAGAAAAGCAGCAGGUUAAUACCCCGCUGUUCUGACGGUACCCAAAGAAUAAGCACCGGCUAACUUCGUG
rnacentral:rRNA from 1 species